CAUCACUGGGGUCCGGUGGCGAGCAGGGGACAGGGCUGUAGUGGAACUGCGCGUCCUCGUGUGCCACUCGUGGGCUCCUGAACGGACUUGGUGUCCCGCUCCAGACUGACUCAUAAAGCAAGUCUUCCUGCCGAGGUGCCAAGGUCUUCAAUUCUUAUCCAGCUGGAAAGUGAGGCAGCUUCUCAUUACUCUCCGUUGAGCGGGACACAAGAGGCUCCGUCCUGGGUUAGCAUGCAGAGACGGAGAGGAAGAACAGAGAGGGUGAGGAGGCGACGUCGAAGCUCUGGCUCAAGAGGAGUGAAUGAGAGCUGCAGAUCUGAAUUUAUAGAGCUAAGAAAAUGGCUGAAAGAGAGGAAGUUUGAAGAUACAGGCUUAUUAGUACCUGCCUGCUUUCCAGGUGGAAGCCUCCGGUGUCUCCUCUGCUGGCUUUGUGUACCUUUUUGGUCUCAGAAAGACAUGCAGGCAGUCAUUCCCUCUGGAAGUCUUACCUGGACAUUUUACCCAAGUCAUAUACCUGCCCGGUGUGCUUGGAGCCAGAAGUGGUGGAUCUUCUUCCGGGACCUUUGAGGGCGAAGGCGGAAGAGCAGAGAGCCCGCGUGCAGGAUUUGUUUGCCUCCUCUAGAGACUUCUUCU
rnacentral:lncRNA from 1 species